UACAGAGGGUGCAAGCGUUGUUCGGAAUUACUGGGCGUAAAGCGCGUGUAGGCGGCGGCGUAAGUCGAAUGUGAAAUCCCUUGGCUUAACCAAGGAAAGUGCAUCCGAUACUGCGUCGCUUGAGUGCCGGAGGGGAUGGCGGAAUUCCUGGUGUAGAGGUGAAAUUCGUAGAUAUCAGGAGGAACACCUGUGGCGAAGGCGGCCAUCUGGACGGUAACUGACGCUGAGACGCGAAAGCGUGGGUAGCAAACAGG
rnacentral:rRNA from 1 species